rnacentral:lncRNA from 1 species
CUUUCUCCAGUUGUUCUGUCCUUACUGGGGAGGAGCCCAGGGACAUAUUUCACAGCUAAGUCAACUGCUUUUCUUCAAAUUCAGAUUUAAUCCUUGAGUGAAAUGAGUCACUGGCUCAUCCAGUUAAGAUCAUCACCCACUUUCCUAACAAAACUUCUCUUCAAAGAAGGACUCGCUCAUCCAUCAGGUGGACCUCCACAGGAACAAAUCAUAUCCAUGUCAGGCGGCACCAAACCUAAAUCUGCUUCUGCCUCAGCAGACAGGACAUGCACCUACAUGUCUAUGUUCAGAAGCUGCCUUGAUGCCACAUGCGGGAGGCUGGAAACGCUGAAGGAUGACCACUGCUCAGCAGCAGUCUACCAGUGAUGGAUGAGAGUUGGUGCACAAAUACCCCAGCUCCCUUGCCUCUCAGUUUGGAUAAUCCUGAAAAGACCCAGCAAGAAAUGAUUCCAAGAUCACCUAG